rnacentral:rRNA from 1 species
CCUACGGGAGGCAGCAGUGGGGAAUAUUGCACAAUGGUGGGAACCCUGAUGCAGCAACGCCGCGUGGGUGAAGAAGUACUCCGGUAUGUAAAGCCCUGUCAGCAGGGAAGAAAAUUACGGUACCUGACCAAUCAGCCCCGGCUCACUACGUUCCAGCCGCCGCGGUACUACGUAGGGGGCAAGCGUUAUCCGGAUUUACUGGGUGUAAAGGGGGCGCAGACGGCAAUGCAAGCCAGGAGUGAAAGCCCGGGGCCCAACCCCGGGACUGCUCUUGGAACUGCAUGGCUGGAGUACAGGAGGGGCAGGCGGAAUUCCUAGUGUAGCGGUGAAAUGCGUAGAUAUUAGGAGGAACACCGGUGGCGAAGGCGGCCUGCUGGACUGUGACUGACGUUGAGGCCCGAAGGCGUGGGGAGCAAACAGGAUUAGAUACCCUGGUAGUC